UACGGAGGAUCCAAGCGUUAUCCGGAAUCAUUGGGUUUAAAGGGUCCGUAGGUGGAUAAUUAAGUCAGAGGUGAAAUCCUGCAGCUCAACUGUAGAAUUGCCUUUGAUACUGGUUAUCUUGAGUUAUUAUGAAGUAGUUAGAAUAUGUAGUGUAGCGGUGAAAUGCAUAGAUAUUACAUAGAAUACCAAUUGCGAAGGCAGAUUACUAAUAAUCAACUGACACUGAUGGACGAAAGCGUGGGGAGCGAACAGGAUUAGAUACCCGCGUA
rnacentral:rRNA from 1 species